rnacentral:rRNA from 1 species
AAUGAACGUUGGCGGCGUGGAUUAGGCAUGCAAGUCGUGCGGCAGCAGGCCACGCAAGGGGUGCUGGCGAGCGGCGAAAGGGAUAGUAAUGUGUGGAUACCUGCCCUGGGGACGGGGAUAGCUGCUGGAAACGGCACUUAAUACCCGAUGAUGUCUACGGACCAAAGGUGUAAUUCCGCCCUAGGAGGGGUCCACAUCCUAUUAGCUAGUUGGUGAGGUACCGGCUCACCAAGGCCACGAUGGGUAGCGGGUGUGAGAGCACGACCCGCAUCACUGGGACUGAGACACUGCCCAGACACCUACGGGUGGCUGCAGUCGAGGAUCUUCGGCAAUGAGCGAAAGCUUGACCGAGCGACGCCGCGUGCGGGAUGAAGGCCUUCGGGUUGUAAACCGCUUUCGGAGGGGAGGAAAUCUAGGGGGGAUCACCCUUCUAGUUGACCUAUCCUAGGAAGAAGGACGGGCUAAGUUCGUGCCAGCAGCCGCAGUAAUAC